AUGACCGUUGGGCGCUGCCCCCUGCCGAGAUCCCAGAUAUACCUCUUCUCCCACGCCACCAGGAAGACGACGCUCUCACAUCUCCCGGUCCCCACGAAUCCCCGCCCCUACCCCUCGACGACAUUCUCGUCCUCCCCCGUGCUCACGCGCUCCACGCUUGCCCUUGCCCCCGCGCGGCGAGCGGAGCGGUCGGGAGGUUUGAUCUGCGCCGCCAUGGCGAUGGACUUGGUGUCGCCUGGGCCGCCGCCCAACUGGAGGGAGAUCAUCAGAUCGAGUUGGAAGGAUCCAAAUUACAAAAGGAUGGUAAUGGCAUGCUUCAUUCAGGCAGUCUACCUUCUUGAAAUAGACAGACAAGAUCAGAAAGGAGAAGAGGAUGGCCUUGCUCCAAAAUGGUGGAAGCCCUUCAAGUACAAGGUCACACAGACACUGGUGGACGAGAGAGAUGGCUCCAUAUACGGCGCCGUCCUUGAGUGGGACCGGUCUUCUGCAUUGUCUGAUCUUAUCCUCCUAAGACCAAGUGGCGCACCAAGGGCCGUGCUAGCUCUCCGAGGAACAUUGCUGCAGAAACCUACAAUUAAAAGAGAUCUACAGGAUGAUCUACGUUUCCUGGUUUGGGAGAGCUUAAAAGGAUCAGUGAGAUAUGUUGGCGCUUUAGAAGCACUGAAGGCUGCAGUUGAGAGAUUUGGGAGCGCAAAUGUUUGCGUCGCAGGGCACUCGUUGGGAGCUGGCUUUGCCCUUCAGGUAUGCAAAGAUCUCGCCAAGCAAGGAAUCUUCGUAGACUGCCAUCUGUUCAAUCCACCUUCUGUUUCACUUGCCAUGAGCCUAAGAAGCAUGAGCGAGAAGGCCAGUCACCUGUGGCAGAAAGUGAAGGCAAGCCUGCCAUUGAAGGAAGAAGCAGCGCUUGACUGUGCAAAAGAGGAUGGCAGCAUCAAGAAGAGACUACGCGCAGAGAAGAAAUGGGUGCCACACUUGUAUGUGAACAACAGUGACUACAUCUGCUGCCACUACAGUGCUCCCUCUUCCUCCGGACCCGACGGGGGUCCGGAUGAGCAGCAGCAGCAGCGCAAGGCGAGCGAGAUUGCUGGUGACGUGGUCGCGAAGCUCUUCGUCACGUCGUCAAAAGGCCCACAGAAGUUCAUGGAGGCGCACGGGCUGGAGCAAUGGUGGUCGGAUGGGAUGGAGCUGCUGGCUGUGUCUGACAGCAAGCUUAUACACAGGCAGCUGAAGUCUCUAUACUCGUCCACAGCAGUACCACCUCCUACAAAGUCAUAG
rnacentral:rRNA from 1 species